AGCUCGUAGGCGGUUUGUCGCGUCUGCUGUGAAAGCCCGGGGCUCAACCCCGGGUCUGCAGUGGGUACGGGCAGACUAGAGUGCAGUAGGGGAGACUGGAAUUCCUGGUGUAGCGGUGAAAUGCGCAGAUAUCAGGAGGAACACCGAUGGCGAAGGCAGGUCUCUGGGCUGUUACUGACGCUGAGGAGCGAAAGCAUGGGGAGCGAACAGGAUUAGAUACCCUGGUAGUCCAUGCCGUAAACGUUGGGCACUAGGUGUGGGGGACAUUCCACGUUUUCCGCGCCGUAGCUAACGCAUUAAGUGCCCCGCCUGGGGAGUACGGCCGCAAGGCUAAAACUCAAAGGAAUUGACGGGGGCCCGCACAAGCGGCGGAGCAUGCGGAUUAAUUCGAUGCAACGCGAAGAACCUUACCAAGGCUUGACAUUCACCGGACCGCCCCAGAGAUGGGGUUUCCCUUCGGGGCUGGUGGACAGGUGGUGCAUGGUUGUCGUCAGCUCGUGUCGUGAGAUGUUGGGUUAAGUCCCGCAACGAGCGCAACCCUCGUUCUAUGUUGCCAGCACGUGAUGGUGGGGACUCAUAGGAGACUGCCGGGGUCAACUCGGAGGAAGGUGGGGAUGACGUCAAAUCAUCAUGCCCCUUAUGUCUUGGGCUUCACGCAUGCUACAAUGGCCGGUACAAAGGGUUGCGAUACUGUGAGGUGGAGCUAAUCCCAAAAAGCCGGUCUCAGUUCGGAUUGAGGUCUGCAACUCGACCUCAUGAAGUCGGAGUCGCUAGUAAUCGCAGAUCAGCAACGCUGCGGUGAAUACGUUCCCGGGCCUUGUACACACCGCCCGUCAAGUCACGAAAGUUGGUAACACCCGAAGCCGGUGGCCUAACCCCUUGUGG
rnacentral:rRNA from 1 species